rnacentral:snRNA from 2 species
AUACUUGCCUCGACGGGGUCUAUGGGUGAUCAAUAAGGCUCAUGGCCUAGGUCAACGGCUCACAGUGCACGUCGUAAUUUGUGAUAGAGGGGUACGCGUUCGCGCGGCCCCGUC